rnacentral:misc_RNA from 1 species
GGAGCUUGUGAAUACCUUGGAAAGCAGAAAGGUGAAUAUUGCUUGCGUUCAGGAGACUAAAUGGGUAGAAGAGAAAAGCAAGGAAAUGGGUAAUUCAGGGUGCAAACUGUGAUUUACCGGAAAGGAAAGAAAUAAGAAUGGUGUGGGCAUAAUCAUAGACAUGACGUUGAAAGAUGCUGUAAUACCUGUGAAAAGAGUAGGAGAUAAAA